rnacentral:rRNA from 1 species
GAGUUUGAUCAUGGCUCAGAAUGAACGCUGGCGGCGUGCCUAACACAUGCAAGUCGAACGAGAAAUUUCCCGCUUGCGGGAGAAAGUAAAGUGGCGAACGGGUGAGUAACGCGUGGGUAACCUGCCCCUGAAUUCGGAAUAACUUCGCGAAAGCGAGGCUAAUACCGGAUAUUGUCCCAGGGACCGUGGUCCUUGUGAUGAAAGGUGACCUCUUCACGAAAGUUGUCGUUCAGGGAGGGGCCCGCGUACCAUUAGCUAGUUGGUAGGGUAAUGGCCUACCAAGGCGAUGAUGGUUAGCUGGUCUGAGAGGAUGACCAGCCACACUGGCACUGAAACACGGGCCAGACUCCUACGGGAGGCAGCAGUGAGGAAUCUUGCGCAAUAGGGGAAACCCUGACGCAGCAACGUCGCGUGAGCGAAGAAGGCCUUCGGGUCGUAAAGCUCUGUCAAGUGGGAAAAAAGCUUACUGGUGAAUAGCCAGUAAGAUUGAUGGUACCAUUAAAGGAAGCACCGGCUAACUCCGUGCCAGCAGCCGCGGUAAUACGGAGGGUGCAAGCGUUGUUCGGAAUUACUGGGCGUAAAGGGCGUGUAGGCGGUGUGGUAAGUCAGAUGUGAAAGCCCUGGGCUUAAC